GACAGCAGUAGCCGCGGGAAUACGUAGGGUGCAAGCGUUAAUCGGAAUUACUGGGCGUAAAGCGUGCGCAGGCGGUUAUAUAAGACAGAUGUGAAAUCCCCGGGCUCAACCUGGGAACUGCAUUUGUGACUGUAUAGCUAGAGUACGGCAGAGGGGGAUGGAAUUCCGCGUGUAGCAGUGAAAUGCGUAGAUAUGCGGAGGAACACCGAUGGCGAAGGCAAUCCCCUGGGCCUGUACUGACGCUCAUGCACGAAAGCGUGGGGAGCAAACAGGAUUAGAUACCCCCGUAGUCCCUGUCUCUUAUAC
rnacentral:rRNA from 1 species